GUAUUUCCGGUGAAACAAGCCUCAGAACAUCCGGUCGGGCCGUGUUUCAUAUCCAGGGGUAUAUAGUAUCUAUGGUUAAAGAAUGGUUUCAAAAGUAUGGUAGGUAUUUGGACAUACUUGCUAUAUUGUGUGACAGCUUCAACGAAGACACAAAAUACACUAUUGGUAGAAGGCAGGGUAAUAAGAGUCACCUUAGUACAUUGCAGCUAGUACAGUCAAUGAAGGUGUGCAUGUUUUGUAAAUGCGGCUAGGCAAUUUCAGUUUAAAUCAGCUUAAACUUUCUACAUAGCAUAAGGGCAUUAAAUAUCUGUAUGAAGAAAAAAAUGCUAUUUAAAAUCCUAGCCCUAGUUCAAACUAAUUUUGAUAAUGAUGACAUUAAUGUCAUAUGGAGUGUUUGAGUUCUUUUAAGAGAGCCAUUUAGUUCAUUC